UAGGGAAUCUUCGGCAAUGGACGAAAGUCUGACCGAGCAACGCCGCGUGAGUGAAGAAGGUUUUCGGAUCGUAAAACUCUGUUGUUAGAGAAGAACAAGGACGUUAGUAACUGAACGUCCCCUGACGGUAUCUAACCAGAAAGCCACGGCUAACUACGUGCCAGCAACCGCGGUAAUACGUAGGUGGCAAGCGUUGUCCGGAUUUAUUGGGCGUAAAGCGAGCGCAGGCGGUUUCUUAAGUCUGAUGUGAAAGCCCCCGGCUCAACCGGGGAGGGUCAUUGGAAACUGGGAGACUUGAGUGCAGAAGAGGAGAGUGGAAUUCCAUGUGUAGCGGUGAAAUGCGUAGAUAUAUGGAGGAACACCAGUGGCGAAGGCGGCUCUCUGGUCUGUAACUGACGCUGAGGCUCGAAAGCGUGGGGAGCAACCAGG
rnacentral:rRNA from 1 species